UUAGAAAUUGAAAACAAUAAUAUUUGCUUCUUAUUAUUAACUUAAUAGCAAGAUAUUACAGAUAAUUCAUGGUACAUACAACAGAAACAGAAGCAAUUAAAAUCUCACAAACAAAUCACAAGAUAACAUCAUAAUACUUAAAGGAAACAGAUAAAAAGGUGCAGAAUACAAGACACAAGCAGUAAAAGAGCAGACGAUGGAUGAUAGGUCUUAUUUAGAAUAUGUAACAUACUAUACAUAGCAUGACGCAUAAGACGUUGC
rnacentral:lncRNA from 1 species